rnacentral:rRNA from 1 species
UACGAAGGUGGCAAGCGUUGUUCGGAUUUACUGGGCGUACAGGGAGCGUAGGCGGUUGGAUAAGCCCUCCGUGAAAUCUCCAGGCUUAACCUGGAAAGUGCAGAGGGGACUGUUCAGCUAGAGGAUGGGAGAGGAGCGCGGAAUUCCCAGUGUAGCGGUGAAAUGCGUAGAUAUUGGGAGGAACACCGGUGGCGAAGGCGGCCCCCUGGACCGGUACUGACGCUGAGGCGCGAAAGCGUGGGUAGCAAACGGG